UACCAGCACCCCGAGUGGUCGGGACGUUUAUUGGGCCUAAAGCAUCCGUAGCCGGUUCUACAAGUCUUCCGUUAAAUCCACCUGCUUAACAGAUGGGCUGCGGAAGAUACUAUAGAGCUAGGAGGCGGGAGAGGCAAGCGGUACUCGAUGGGUAGGGGUAAAAUCCGUUGAUCCACUGAAGACCACCAGUGGCGAAGGCGGCUUGCCAGAACGCGCUCGACGGUGAGGGAUGAAAGCUGGGGGAGCAAACCGG
rnacentral:rRNA from 1 species